rnacentral:rRNA from 1 species
UUUAACUGAAGAGUUUGAUCAUGGCUCAGAUUGAACGCUGGCGGCAGGCUUAACACAUGCAAGUCGAGCGGGGGAAGGUAGCUUGCUACUGGACCUAGCGGCGGACGGGUGAGUAAUGCUUAGGAAUCUGCCUAUUAGUGGGGGACAACAUCUCGAAAGGGAUGCUAAUACCGCAUACGUCCUACGGGAGAAAGCAGGGGAUCUUCGGACCUUGCGCUAAUAGAUGAGCCUAAGUCGGAUUAGCUAGUUGGUGGGGUAAAGGCCUACCAAGGCGACGAUCUGUAGCGGGUCUGAG